CACCGCCGACACGCCAUGGCCGGCCACCAGCGGCCCUGCGCCGGCGCGGCGGGGCGGAGCGGAGCGGGGCCGAUGCGGAGGGAAGGGGCCGGUGCCGAGGGGCGGUGCUGCCGUCGGGGCUUCCGGGAGCGCUGGGGCAUGGAGCCGUCGUCGUCGGGGGAGGAGGAGGAGAAGGGGGGCGGCAGCUUCUGUGCCAGCGAGCACCAGCACGCUCGUUACAACCCCCUGCGGGAUGACUGGGUGCUGGUAUCGGCCCACCGGGUGAAGCGGCCGUGGCAGGGGCAGCUGGAGAAGCCGCCCCCCGAGGAUGUGCCCCGCUGGGACCCCAAUAACCCUCUCUGCCCCGGGGCGACGCGGGCCAAUGGCGAGGUGAACCCCCAGUAUGAGGGCACUUUCGUAUUCCCAAAUGACUUCCCGGCCCUACAGCCUGAUGCUCCAGAGCCUGGUGACAGUGAUCAUCCCUUGUUUCGAGCUGCAGCAGCCCGGGGGGUGUGCAAGGUGAUGUGCUUCCACCCCUGGUCGGACCUGACGCUGCCUCUCAUGUCCGUGGCAGAGAUCCGGGCUGUCAUCGAUGCAUGGGCAGAGCUGGCGGCCGAGCUGGGUGCCUCCUACCCCUGGGUCCAGAUCUUCGAGAACAAGGGAGCGAUGAUGGGGUGCUCCAACCCUCACCCCCACUGCCAGGUAUGGGCCAGCAGCUUCCUCCCGAACGAGGCGCGCCUGGAGGACCGGACCCAGCAGCAGCACCUGAGCCAGCAUGGUGUGCCCAUGCUGCUGGAGUACGCUGAGCAGGAGGCUCGUCGGAAGGAGCGGCUGGUGGUGGAGAACAGGGACUGGCUGGUAGUAGUGCCGUACUGGGCUACCUGGCCCUACCAGACCCUGCUGCUGCCGCGUCGCCAUGUCUGCCGCCUCCAGGACCUCCACGAGGGAGAGAGGGACAGCCUGGCCUCUAUCAUGAAGAGGCUGCUCAUCAAGUACGACAACCUCUUUGAAGUCUCCUUCCCCUACUCUAUGGGCUGGCACGGAGCUCCCACAGGUCCCUACCUGGAGGAGGACUGCAGGCACUGGCAGCUCCAUGCCCACUACUACCCCCCUCUGCUCCGCUCUGCCACUGUCCGCAAGUUCAUGGUGGGCUAUGAGAUGCUGGCACAGGCACAGCGGGAUCUCACCCCGGAGCAGGCAGCUGAGCGCCUGAGGAGCCUCCCCGAGGUGCACUACAAGCAGAGGGCUGAGGAGAGGUCAUGAUGGGGAGCAGCAGAGCCAGCUCUCGCUGUGCUUGAUGAGGCCAGGAGGAGGAAUCAGCUGAGGAUGGGCCCUGGAAAAGUGGCAACGAAUUGACUUAAAUGUGUGAAUCCAGAUUGGGAUAAUUAGCCGCUGAACCAGUUGUAACGAUGCUAGUCAUCUCCUUCCAUGCACAGUUAGCUGUGAUUUAAUAGCCCACCGGCUCUGAGCCUUGGCUGCAUCGCGUUGGCCCGGGGCCGUAAAUGAAACUCGCAGUAAGUCAAGCAGUAUUAAACUUUACAGUCGCCGUCUUUUAAAAACGAGACUCUCUCUCUCUAAUAAAUCAGAGCAAGUGGGAUUGUAAAUAUCGAGGCAGGAUCCAUAUUGCUUAAUUAAACAGCUCCUAAUGAA